AACGGCAGCACGGACUUCGGUCUGGUGGCGAGUGGCGAACGGGUGAGUAAUAUAUCGGAACAUACCCUAGAGUGGGGGAUAACGUAGCGAAAGUUACGCUAAUACCGCAUACGAACUAAGGUUGAAAGUGGGGGAUCUUCGGACCUCAUGCUCAUGGAGUGGCCGAUAUCUGAUUAGCUAGUUGGUGAGGUAAAGGCUCACCAAGGCGACGAUCAGUAGCUGGUUUGAGAGAACGACCAGCCACACUGGAACUGAGACACGGUCCAGACUCCUACGGGAGGCAGCAGUGGGGAAUUUUGGACAAUGGGGGCAACCCUGAUCCAGCAAUGCCGCGUGAGUGAAGAAGGCCUUCGGGUUGUAAAGCUCUUUUGUCAGGGAAGAAACGGUUGUGGCUAAUAUCCAUGGCUAAUGACGGUACCUGAAGAAUAAGCACCGGCUAACUACGUGCCAGCAGCCGCGGUAAUACGUAGGGUGCAAGCGUUAAUCGGAAUUACUGGGCGUAAAGCGUGCGCAGGCGGUUAUAUAAGUCAGAUGUGAAAUCCCCGGGCUCAACCUGGGAACUGCAUUUGAGACUGUAUGGCUAGAGUGUGUCAGAGGGGGGUAGAAUUCCACGUGUAGCAGUGAAAUGCGUAGAUAUGUGGAGGAAUACCGAUGGCGAAGGCAGCCCCCUGGGAUAACACUGACGCUCAUGCACGAAAGCGUGGGGAGCAAACAGGAUUAGAUACCCUGGUAGUCCACGCCCUAAACGAUGUCUACUAGUUGUCGGGACUUAAUUGUCUUG
rnacentral:rRNA from 1 species